rnacentral:sRNA from 1 species
CCCCUUUGUGCGGCCGGAGGCGGCGGCGGGAACGGCCAUGGCGGCCAAUAUGUACCGGGUGGGAGAUUACGUCUAUUUUGAGAACUCUUCCAGCAAUCCUUACCUGGUUAGACGGAUUGAGGAGCUCAACAAGACUGCAAAUGGAAAUGUGGAGGCAAAGGUUGUCUGUCUUUUCCGGCGCAGGGACAUUUCUAGUAGCCUCAACAGCCUGGCUGAUAGUAAUGCCAGGGAGUUUGAAGAGGAAUCAAAGCAGCCAGGGGUGUCUGAGCAGCAGCGCCAUCAACUGAAGCACCGGGAACUUUUUCUUUCUCGGCAAUUUGAAUCAUUACCAGCCACCCACAUACGGGGGAAAUGCAGUGUGACCCUCUUGAAUGAGACAGAUAUCUUGAGCCAGUACCUGGAAAAGGAGGUGAGAAAGAGAUGUUGAGAGAAGAGCGAGGGGAAUGGGUAUUGCCCGCAAAAGGGAGGGGGAAAGGAGGACAAUGAUGAGGUACAGGGUUGCCAGACUGCCGGUUAUGGAAACUCAGAUACACCUCCCUCCCCGCCGCCUAUGUGGAUUGCUGCCCUGCUUACCUUGUCUCUCCCCAACUCCAGGACUGCUUUUUUUACUCACUGGUGUUUGACCCU